rnacentral:rRNA from 1 species
UGGGGAAUAUUGGACAAUGGGCGCAAGCCUGAUCCAGCUAUGCCGCGUGAGUGAUGAAGGCCCUAGGGUUGUAAAGCUCUUUCACCGGUGAAGAUAAUGACGGUAACCGGAGAAGAAGCCCCGGCUAACUUCGUGCCAGCAGCCGCGGUAAUACGAAGGGGGCUAGCGUUGUUCGGAUUUACUGGGCGUAAAGCGCACGUAGGCGGACUAUUAAGUCAGGGGUGAAAUCCCGGGGCUCAACCCCGGAACUGCCUUUGAUACUGGUAGUCUUGAGUUCGAGAGAGGUGAGUGGAAUUCCGAGUGUAGAGGUGAAAUUCGUAGAUAUUCGGAGGAACACCAGUGGCGAAGGCGGCUCACUGGCUCGAUACUGACGCUGAGGUGCGAAAGCGUGGGGAGCAAACAGG